rnacentral:misc_RNA from 1 species
GAUGAAGAACGUAGUGAAAUGCGAUAAGUAAUGUGAAUUGCAGAAUUCAGUGAAUCAUCGAAUCUUUGAACGCACAUUGCGCCCGCCAGUAUUCUGGCGGGCAUGCCUGUCCGAGCGUCAUUUCAACCCUCGAACCCCUCCGGGGGGUCGGCGUUGGGGAUCGGCCCUUUACGGGGCCGGCCCCGAAAUACAGUGGCGGUCUCGCCGCAGCCUCUCCUGCGCAGUAGUUUGCACACUCGCAUCGGGAGCGCGGCGCGUCCACAGCCGUUAAACACCCCAAACUUCUGAAAUGUUGACCUCGGAUCAGGUAGGAAUACCCGCUGAACUUAAGCAUAUCAAUAAGCGGAGGA